rnacentral:rRNA from 1 species
GAUGAACGCUGGCGGCGUGCCUAAUACAUGCAAGUCGAGCGAAUGGAUUAAGAGCUUGCUCUUAUGAAGUUAGCGGCGGACGGGUGAGUAACACGUGGGUAACCUGCCCAUAAGACUGGGAUAACUCCGGGAAACCGGGGCUAAUACCGGAUAACAUUUUGAACCGCAUGGUUCGAAAUUGAAAGGCGGCUUCGGCUGGCACUAUUGGAUGUACCCGCGUCGCAUUAGCUAGUUGGUGAGGUAACGGCUCACCAAGGCAACGAUGCGUAGCCGACCUGAGAGGGUGAUCGGCCACACUGGGACUGAGACACGGCCCAGACUCCUACGGGAGGCAGCAGUAGGGAAUCUUCCGCAAUGGACGAAAGUCUGACGGAGCAACGCCGCGUGAGUGAUGAAGGCUUUCGGGUCGUAAAACUCUGUUGUUAGGGAAGAACAAGUGCUAGUUGAGUAAGCUGGCACCUUGACGGUACCUAACCAGAAAGUCACGGCUAACUACGUGCCAGCAGCCGCAGUAA